UCUUGAUUUAGAUAAAGUCAACCAUAAUACUAUAAUAUUCUUCAUUUUGAUUUCCUCAUAACUCCAAAUUAUUACCCUUAAUAUAUGUCUUACGUUUUCAAUUAUUCUACAACACCUUAUCAUAUAUUUAAAAUCCCUUGGUCAAUUCCAAGAGGGCAUGUGUAAGAAAUCAGAAAACGAAACCUCGCAUAGCUAGCCUUCUAAAUAUCCUUAGCUUUGGAAGCUUACGCCCAUCAUCAUUGCCAUCAACAUCAUCUCACCAAAAUUCUAAGUCUCGGUCCACUAUACUCUUUAGAAGGUCUUAGGAGCCUUAAAGACUUGCUUGUGCGUUCGGUUCGGAAUCAAUCCUAGUACGUCUUGUGUCGAAGGAGAAUCACUCAAAGCAUGACGUAUUGAUGAGUUUGAAGAUUUGAAGAAAGUAUGAUGUUAAGUUUGCACGCGCGCGGGAAAUAAAUUUGGGUUUUUCAUA
rnacentral:lncRNA from 1 species